rnacentral:misc_RNA from 1 species
GAUGAAGAACGUAGCGAAAUGCGAUAAGUAAUGUGAAUUGCAGAAUUCAGUGAAUCAUCGAAUCUUUGAACGCACCUUGCGCUCCCUGGUAUUCCGGGGAGCACGCCUGUUCGAGUGUCGCGAAAUUCUUCAAGCCUUGGAUGGAUUUUUUUUGUCUGUCCUUGGGCUUGGUUGUUGGGCUCUGCCGUGUCCUUCAUUGGGACGGCUGGCCUUAAAAGCAUUAGCCGAUCCUCGUGUGGUACUGGUUCUACUCAGCGUGAUAACAAUCUGAUCGUUGAGGACAUCUUCUGGAUGGCCAGUCAUCAUUUGGGUUGCUUCUAAACCGGUUUCGCAGAUUGCUCAAUCUGUGUGCCACUUUUCAGCUUUGACCUCGAAUCAGGUGGGACUACCCGCUGAACUUAAGCAUAUCAUAAGCGGAGGA